GGAUGCAAGGGCGAUCUGGCUGCGACAUCUGUGACCCCAUUUAUCACCAGGGUUGAUUCAGCUGAUCUGGCUGGCUAGGCGGGUGUCCCCUUCCUCCCUCACUGCUCCAUGUGCGUCCCUCCCGAAGCUGUGCACUCGGUGGAAGAGGACAACCAUCCUUGAUAGAAGGAGUGUACCAUUCGUCGGUCAAGGGUUCUAA